rnacentral:rRNA from 1 species
AUUGAACGCUGGCGGCAGGCUUAACACAUGCAAGUCGAGCGGAGAUGAGGUGCUUGCACCUUAUCUUAGCGGCGGACGGGUGAGUAAUGCUUAGGAAUCUGCCUAUUAGUGGGGGACAACAUUCCGAAAGGAAUGCUAAUACCGCAUACGCCCUACGGGGGAACGCAGGGGAUCUUCGGACCUUGCGCUAAUAGAUGAGCCUAAGUCGGAUUAGCUAGUUGGUGGGGUAAAGGCCUACCAAGGCGACGAUCUGUAGCGGGUCUGAGAGGAUGAUCCGCCACACUGGGACUGAGACACGGCCCAGACUCCUACGGGAGGCAGCAGUGGGGAAUAUUGGACAAUGGGCGGAAGCCUGAUCCAGUCAUGCCGCGUGUGUGAAGAAGGCCUUUUGGUUGUAAAGCACUUUAAGCGAGGAGGAGGCUACCUGGAUUAAUACUCUAGGAUAGUGGACGUUACUCGCAGAAUAAGCACCGGCUAACUCUGUGCCAGCCGCCGCCGUAAGAC